AGAUCAGACAGAGGACGACAAGAGAAGGUGUGUAGCCUGGUGGGAAGGCAGCUGUGAUGAGGUUUGGCAGAGACGGAACAGCCUAGCCUACUCCUGGCCUGUGAGCUGAGGGGACAGAACAGAUGGGAAUGGCCGAAGUCACUGGUCAGUAGGUGCCUGCUGGGGCUUCUGAGCCUGCCUUCCUGGGUUCCAGAGUAAACCUGAAAUCUGCAAGAGACAUCAUCCCCCAAACCGCCUGUUUUGCAGAGACUACUGAGACCACAGAAACGGCGUUUGGAAAUCUGCCAAAAUCCCAGGCCCUAGGCAACCACUGCCUACCUUUUCGUUCACUUUGCAAACCGGAUCUUGUAAGAUAAGAAUCUAGACUCCAGGAUGGGACCUACUUUUUCUCACACCCACAGCCCUCGGGGAUCCCUCCUCUCCCAGAUUCCCAAUAAUUAGAGCCAGCCAGACCCA